UACGUAGGUCCCGAGCGUUGUCCGGAUUUAUUGGGCGUAAAGCGAGCGCAGGUGGUUUAUUAAGUCUGGUGUAAAAGGCAGUGGCUCAACCAUUGAAUGCAUUGGAAACUGGUAGACUUGAGUGCAGGAGAGGAGAGUGGAAUUCCAUGUGUAGCGGUGAAAUGCGUAGAUAUAUGGAGGAACACCGGUGGCGAAAGCGGCUCUCUGGUCUGUAACUGACACUGAGGCUCGAAAGCGUGGGGAGCAAACAGG
rnacentral:rRNA from 1 species